rnacentral:sRNA from 1 species
CACCUGAAAUAUCGUUGUUGUGUUUAAGGAUGCCUCC